rnacentral:rRNA from 1 species
GACGAACGCUGGCGGCGUGCUUAACACAUGCAAGUCGAACGGAAAGGCCCUGCUUUUGUGGGGUGCUCGAGUGGCGAACGGGUGAGUAACACGUGAGUAACCUGCCCUUGACUUUGGGAUAACUUCAGGAAACUGGGGCUAAUACCGGAUAGGAGCUCCUGCUGCCUGGUGGGGGUUGGAAAUUUUCGGCGGUUGGGGAUGGACUCGCGGCUUAUCAGCUGGUUGGUGGGGUAGUGGCUUACCAAGGCUUUGACGGGUAGCCGGCCUGAGAGGGUGACCGGCCACAUUGGGACUGAGAGACGGCCCAGACUCCUACGGGAGGCAGCAGUGGGGAAUAUUGCACAAUGGGCGGAAGCCUGAUGCAGCAACGCCGCGUGCGGGAUGACGGCCUUCGGGGUGUAAACCGCUUUCGCCUGUGACGAAGCGUGAGUGACGGUAAUGGGUAAAGAAGCACCGGCUAACUACGUG